AGCAGCCGCGGUAAUUCCAGCUCCAAUAGCGUAUAUUAAAGUUGUUGCAGUUAAAAAGCUCGUAGUUGAAUUUCGGGAUCAGUACGCUAGUCGUGCCUUCGGUACGUACUGGUGCUGCUGAUUCCUACCUUCUGACGAACCGUUAUGUCAUUAAUUUGGUGUGGCAGGAAAUCAGGACUGUUACUUUGAAAAAAUUAGAGUGUUUAAAGCAGGCUCGCGCUUGAAUACAUUAGCAU
rnacentral:rRNA from 1 species